UAACUGCCGCUCAACUUCUCUGACGACCAACUCAGUUAAAACUCCAGCCAUGGGGCUUCCAGUAUUCGCCUCUGAAACCAAUAAUAUUCGCCUUCCAAUAUUCGCCUCUGAAACCGUUUUCAACACCACAGUGUGUGCCAGGCCUGCUGCCGCCCUGAUCGUCAUGCCGGGAUGGUCUUUUGACCCCUGGACCUGUAAGGGAUCUGCCUUUGUAUCCUAUUUUGGUGGAUGCUUCUCACAUUGUGGCGGCCAGUCCUACCUUAAAGCGGAUCGUAUUUAUACCAUUGGCCGGGGGCAUGGCUGCACUGACAAGUUUGUGGGGAACCUUUUCCAUAAGCGGAGGGCUAACUGCCAAAGACAGUUGGCUCCCACUGAGCAGCCUGGCGCUUCGUCCCGUAUGGAGGGCGGUUCUGUCGCACAGUGCCGGGUCCCAGUGCCUUACAGGCUCCGCACUGGCUCUUCUGUUGGAUCCGCCCUUGAAUCAACAAGUGAAGCCGGUACCUUUGGAGGAGCGCC
rnacentral:lncRNA from 1 species